rnacentral:lncRNA from 8 species
UCCAUAGUCAAAAUGUUUGUUUCCCAAAUCUUUGUAGGCUCUCCGAGCUGGACAAGCCAGACCUGAUCUAGAGAUUAUCCUUCCUGUUGGUGGUGGAGUACCUUCGGGUGGUUUCAUCAAACAGGAGAUCCCCCAGCCACUCGGCCAGGAGAGCGUUGAGAUCUACCACCCCUUCUUCAUUCAGGUUGCCCCUCCUGCUCCUGCUUCACCUGCCCAUACUCAUACAUCCGAUGAGGAAGAUGAAUAGAGAUAUUACCAAUACUUGGAGAUCUACAAUACCCUUCGAUGAACAACAAUGUCCUUCAACUCCACUGCUGCUCUUAGUGUCCUAGAUUGAUUCAGUAAAUGCAUUGCUUAACCCAGCAAUAAACAUAGAGUAACAUGGUGCUGAACCGAUGGCUUGAUGCAUGAAAGCUGUGUGUAAUUGUUUGUACUUGGCAGAAUAAUGUUAAUAAAACCCCCAGAAUGUUUUGCCAACCUUCUCCAUAGCAUGCCUCAAUUUUCUUUCUUGUCUCUGCUUGUUAGUCUGUGCCAUUGAUGACAUUCAGCAUUCAAAUAAUUCCAUCGAGUACACAUUUUUGGAACAAUGUUGUCAAUUUUCUAAACAGUGUAAACAAGACACAAAACUCAGUGUUGUAAAUUUUCCAAAUGUU